CAUCAGAUGUGCCCAGAUGGGAUUAGCUAGUAGGUGGGGUAACGGCUCACCUAGGCGACGAUCCCUAGCUGGUCUGAGAGGAUGACCAGCCACACUGGAACUGAGACACGGUCCAGACUCCUACGGGAGGCAGCAGUGGGGAAUAUUGCACAAUGGGCGCAAGCCUGAUGCAGCCAUGCCGCGUGUGUGAAGAAGGCCUUCGGGUUGUAAAGCACUUUCAGCGGGGAGGAAGGCGUUAAGGUUAAUAACCUUGGCGAUUGACGUUAC
rnacentral:rRNA from 1 species